AUGCCACCGCCCAGCAUCCAGGGACAACUGUCCCUAGAAGGCAUCACUGCCAAAGGGUCCGCUGACAUUGGGGCAGACCUGGAGGUCGGUCCCAGUGGGAGAGGUGUGCUGGGCCCCAGCCCGGGGAAAUGGCAGCGGAGGAACUUCGUCGGCCCUCUCCACCUCACUGGUCCUGGGACAGGCCCAGCCUGAGAGAACCCGGAAAGGGGCUUGAAGAGGAGACGCAGCAUCUGCGUGGAUCCCCAGCAGCCCUCCGAGGAAGGGCCCGCAGGGCUGUCUACCCAAGACUCUGAUUCCGGAGAUGAGUGCAGCGACUUACCGUUGAUCAGGGUGAUCAUUUUCACCAAAGAAGGAAUCCAGGCCAAGCCCGGAAGCCCCAAGAAGCCAGCAGACACUUGCAGACGCCCCAGUUUCCACCGCAGGGAGAGUUACCUUCAGGUUCAGGGACCUCUCCUGACCUCUCCUCCCCGCAGACUCACCCCAGCCAUGGAGAGGCCGGCCGUGGGAGAGCUGGACACGUCUUCCUUGAAGAAAAUGCAGAGCAUGGUGUGGGGAAAGAGGGGGGUCAGGCCCAGUUGCUCAGGAGUUGCCAUUAGAGGGCCCCUACCCCGGGGCAUUCUGGGAAGGAAGGUGGCCCAGGAGAAGAAAUCCCUAGAGGGUGCACCAGAACUGGCCCUGCGGGGAGCCUUUCCUGCCUGGGGGCAGAGACUCUCAGCAGUUCCACCUGAUCCGGCCAGCUUCCCACCAGUGUCCAGUGUGGGGCUCCUGGGGAAGUCUGCGAGACCCAAGGAGCCCAAGCACAGCAGCCCUGGGAAGAAACCAGCAGGAAGGAAGACCAGGGAGUCCCAGGCUGCGGCCAGAGAAGAUAAUGAUCCAAAUAGAGAUGAGGUCCCAAGGGCCCAAUUUCCCAAAGAGAAGCCCCAGCUGAUUUCCCUGUCCGUGAGUUGUGGAGAAUGCAGCAGUGGCGACUCCACCAUCAGAACUCCCCAAGUUCCAGGAACCUCACAGCCCUUAGCAUUGAGCCUGAGACGCCUUGUGUCCUGACACCGUGCAUUCUCCAGUGACCAGCAGCUGCCUGUCCAUCCCCCAAGAUUGGAAAGGCAGCAGCAGCCCCCAGGAGCCCAGGGCUGUCCUCAGUGCAUCCUGCUGCAGAGGAAAACUGAGGACCUGAGGGGAGACCAACUAGCGGCCAUGCAGUUCCUCACUGACAAGUUCCAGGACCUUUGAAGUUGGAGCCAGCAUCUUCCUACAAGAUGAGCAGCUGGUACCUUUGGAGCUCCGGAGCUGCAGCCAAACGGGUUCCUUCCGUAUCCUCUUCAGCCAGGGCUUCCGCUCUUCUGCUGCAUUUGCCCCCUUCCCAAAGCAGUUUCCAAUAAAGUCGUUCUCAUAUUC